rnacentral:rRNA from 1 species
AGGGAAUUUUCCGCAAUGGGCGAAAGCCUGACGGAGCAACGCCGCGUGAGGGAAGAAGGUCUUCGGAUCGUAAACCUUUGUCAUCGAGGACGAUAAUGACGGUACUCGAGGAGGAAGCCCCGGCUAACUACGUGCCAGCAGCCGCGGUAACACGUAGGGGGCGAGCGUUGUCCGGAAUUACUGGGCGUAAAGGGCGCGUAGGCGGCCUAAUAAGUCAGAUGUGAAACCCCCGGGCUUAACCGAGGCAUUGCACAUGAAACUGCAUGGCUUGAGUGCAGGAGAGGGAAGUGGAAUUCCUAGUGUAGCGGUGAAAUGCGUAGAUAUUAGGAGGAACACCAGUGGCGAAGGCGACUUCCUGGACUGUAACUGACGCUGAGGCGCGAAAGCGUGGGUAGCAAACA